rnacentral:rRNA from 1 species
CUGAGACCUGAUGCCGAGCCGAUUGUGGUGAAGUGGAUGAUCCUAUGCUGUCGAGAAAAGCCUCUAGCGAGUUUCAUGGCGGCCCGUACCCCAAACCGACUCAGGUGGUCAGGUAGAGAAUACCGAGGCGUUCGGGUGAACUAUGGUUAAGGAACUCGGCAAAAUGCCCCCGUAACUUCGGGAGAAGGGGGGCCAUUCCUGGUGAUGACACGUGCUGUCUGAGCUGGGGGUGGCCGCAGAGACCAGCGAGAAGCGACUGUUUACUAAAAACACAGGUCCGUGCGAAGCCGUAAGGCGAUGUAUACGGACUGACGCCUGCCCGGUGCUGGAACGUUAAGGGGACCGGUUAGCUUGGAUUCGUUCAGGCGAAGCUGAGAACUUAAGCGCCAGUAAACGGCGGUGGUAACUAUAACCAUCCUAAGGUAGCGAAAUUCCUUGUCGGGUAAGUUCCGACCUGCACGAAUGGCGUAACGACUUCUCGACUGUCUCAACCAUAGGCCCGGUGAAAUUGCAUUACGAGUAAAGAUGCUCGUUUCGCGCAGCAGGACGGAAAGACCCCGGGACCUUUACUAUAGCUUGAUAUUGGUGUUCGGUUCGGCUUGUGUAGGAUAGGUGGGAGACUUUGAAAC